ACUUACGAAUUUUGUUACGAUGAUUAGCGGCUGUCUUUGCUUAUAAUAAUCAGUAAUAAAAAGGUUUCGAUGAGAUUGAUUGGCUAAAAAUUAAUUAUUUUAGUAUUAAUAAAUAAAAGAUUGUCAUAAUAUUUUUUUAUAUUAUUUUAUAAAAGAUUAUAAGAUAUUUUGACCAUCCAUUAUGCUAGGUUAUCUAGAUAAUUUUAUUCUUAAUGAAUUAUGUCAUGUCUCGAACUCAGCAC
rnacentral:lncRNA from 1 species